AGGGGUGUAGCUCAGUUGGUAGAGCAGCGGUCUCCAAAACCGCGUGUCGUGAGUUCAAGUCUUGCCACCCCUGCCA
rnacentral:tRNA from 1 species